ACAUCAGUUCAGGUGUAUCCUUACCUGUUGCCUUAGAAAUAAGGCUACAGCACAUGAUGAGUGGGUUCAAUGAAUGUGUGAUUAUAAUCCACAUUUAUCAAGGAGCUUCAACUCCCUGAUGAAUCCUGUCUGAU